rnacentral:rRNA from 1 species
AACGUAGGAGACAAACGUUAUCCGGAGUUACUGGGCGUAAAGGGUGUGUAGGCGGUUGUUUAAGUUUGGUGUGAAAUCUCCCGGCUCAACUGGGAGGGUGCGCCGAAUACUGAAUAACUUGGAGUGCGGGAGAGGAAAGUGGAAUUCCUGGUGUAGCGGUGAAAUGCGUAGAUAUCAGGAGGAACACCGGUGGUGUAGACGGCUUUCUGGACCGUAACUGACGCUGAGACACGAAAGCGUGGGUAGCAAACAGG